UGGCGGACGGGUGAGUAAUGUCUGGGAAACUGCCCGAUGGAGGGGGAUAACUACUGGAAACGGUAGCUAAUACCGUAUAACGUCGCAAGACCAAAGAGGGGGACCUUCGGGCCUCUUGCCAUCGGAUGUGCCCAGAUGGGAUUAGCUAGUAGGUGGGGUAACGGCUCACCUAGGCGACGAUCCCUAGCUGGUCUGAGAGGAUGACCAGCCACACUGGAACUGAGACACGGUCCAG
rnacentral:rRNA from 1 species